CGGUCUUGAGUAAGGGUUCCUAUAGGAAUGAGAAGAUUUUUUUUUUUAAAGAUGUUAACGAAAUUUUUUUUUUAAAGUAGUUUCACCGAAGAUGGUGUAAAAGAUGUUGAACACCGAUUACCGCCCGAUACGCGAAAAGUAUCGUAUGAUAUGGAUGAAGCCAUUUCCAAGACAGGAUUUGAGCUGUUCAACUAUGUGGUGAAUCACUGGUGAUUGGCGUUUCUGGUCUAAUUAUGUUUGCUGCAUCAACGUACUCUCAGUGGAUUCUUGUGAGUUGAAAAAUUGUGGAAAUGAGAAUAAAACGUAUUUUCAAAUUAUGCGGCAAUGUUUCAGGGUAUGUGCGGCAGGUGGUAAUAUUUGGGCGAAUUUCACAACAACAUUCACAGAAGUCGAGCUAUUAUGGUUUCUGCUGUGAUUCUACCUGUAACUGCAUGGGCUGUGAUAAAUGAAGAUCGUUUUUUUAAAUUUCAUUUUCAAUUAAAAGAGCAAUGGUCAUGUCCAUAUCGUUAAUGUUUGGACGAUUGGGAGCUGUUGCUGGCUAAAAUUUGGCUGCAGUGCUAUUAGAUGAUCAUUGCGAAACAGCGUUUUAUCUAGUCGGAUCAGUUCUCUUGGCAAUGGGUGUGUUAUCAAAUUUCAUUCCAAACAUUCAUAAAAAAGUGACAAAGUCUGGUGAUCAAACAAAGUGCGAUGCACGUCCAAGUGUCUUAUCAUUCAGUGGAUCUGGGCGUGGUGUCUAAGAUAAUCAUGUUUGAUUAUGUUUCAU